rnacentral:pre_miRNA from 1 species
GAGACACCCUUAUGGGCAAGACUGCUUCUGUGGGGCUUUGGUGCUCACUGAGUCUGCCCUCUGAGUGUGUCCCU